UGUUCAUUCUGUUGUCGUUUCGUUUCGUUUCGUUCGCUUUACUUUUUCUGGAAUACUCGUAUAAAAAAAGUCAAACAAAAUAAUAAAAAUGAAACAGCGAUCCUCAAACACACACACACGAACAUUGGAACACACACAUACAGAUGCAGUUGGUGUGCCGCCGCCGCCAUUGCGUAUGGGGCGGCCAUUGAAGCCAACGGCGACUGCUCUGCUCUGCCAGCGAACAUCGCCUGCCUCGCCGCUCGAGAGUAUAAAAGCUUAAAAUCACUUCGUACUCGGGUUUAUUAAAACCAAAACUGUGCAAGUGUCAAGAUCGGAACGGAUCGGAACGGAUCGGAUCGGAUCGUAGUAGGAGCAGGAGCAGCCGCAGCGGCAGCAGCAGAUCGAAAGUCGUAUAAGCCAGACAAAAAAAAACUGAGUGAAAAAUUCUUGUGAAAUGUAAAAGCACACAACGCAGACAACGCCCCUCUUUAAAACCAAGUGAAAGUCGGGGAAAACCAAACCAAAUAUAACAACUAAACUAAUCAAAAAUUGACAAUCACCAAACCAAAAAUAAAAGAGCCGAGCACAACGGGCUGCCUGCUUCCCCUCCGCCCACUGUAAAUGGCGCAGAAAAUAAAAUCACUAAAAUAAUUAACUAGGCGCCACGCGACGCGCAACCAGAAAAGCUAAAAAAAAAAGAGAAACAAAAAUCGAAAGUGUUCUACUGACAUGGAUUACUUUUUGCCUCUCCCCGGCAACAACAGCAAACAGCAACAACGCAAGGCUGUGAUGGCAAUGGCAAAGAGAAACUAACGCUAGUUUUAGUCUAUGGCGCUGCGCUCUCUGAGAGAGGCAACAAAAUAGAAAGCAAAACUAGACAGCAGCGGGGCAGAUCAGCUAGCUGGCUGGCUGGCUGGCCCCGGUGUACGUGCACUGAGACAUGCUGUGUUGGUGUUGGUGUGUUGGCUGAUGUUUGUGCUGUGAGAGAGCAAAUUCUAAUUCUUGAACUUGAACUCCAAAAUGUGCACAGACACAGGCGCAGUCAGAGCCACACGCAUACUCCCAUUCGGUAGCGGCGGCGGCAGCCUUGCAUAAAUAUGUAUGCAAUCUUGUUGUUGUUGUUGCUGUUGGGCCGGCGGCGCUCUCUGUGGGUCUAGCUUAUGCUCUCCCGCUGGCGCUGCUAAUCUCCCCAUUUGCUUUGCGCCCCAGAGAGUCGUGUCACCGACAACAGUCGGUCAGUCAGUUGGGAGGUGGCGCUCGCUGGGGCGCAUAAAAUUUGCUCGCUGAUCAAUUUGCGACUUGCUUGCAAUUAAUUUUUGGACCCCAGCAAGAAGCAAAAAAAAAAGUGAAAGUCUGUGAGUGAAAGACGUGGCAUUUUUAAACAAAAUCCAACAUUGAACUUUACGCUAAACACGAAACAAACGCGAAACAAGUUAAUACAUUUUAAGACGCGAAACGCAAAUGAAAUCGAACCGAAAAAAAGAGACCGAGCCCGCGCCUGAGCCUGAGCAAUGCAAAGAAAGCGGCGCCGUAAGCUUUUUGCGCAGCUGCCUGGGCUGACUAGUUACGUUUUUUCCUCUUACUCUUUUUCUUUAUCAUCAUAGCGCGGGAUCGGUGGGCGUGGGGGGCAGCAGGCCAUAUGGAAAUCGAGGGGAAAAGAAAGCAGAGCAAAGCAGUAACAGAAGCAACAGCAGCAAUAGCGGCCACAACGGCAGCUGUGCGGCGUUACGUAGCUUAUGAUAAGUGGGCGUGGCCGAGAGUGUGUUAUUCUAAAAAAGAGAAUGUGCCUUAUAAAUCUAGCCUCUACUAGGCUUUGUCUGUGCAUUCGAAAACGAUCAGACAUAGCCUAUAAGAGGUUAGGUGUACCAAGGAGAAAAUGCAACAAAAGCGGAAUCCCGAUUACAGUUACACUUACACCGAACGCCGAGAUGAGGAGGAGGAGGCAGUCGACUGAUAAGCACUAUAUAGGAAUUAAAUCGCACCCCACACAGCACCAGCCUCUGGAUUUGUUUAUGGUCUUCGAUGUUUAUUAGUGUAUAAAUAUAAAAAUGUUUAUGAAUAAAAGGCGUUUCGCUGAUA